rnacentral:rRNA from 1 species
CUGGCUCAGAGCGAACGCUGGCGGCAGGCUUAACACAUGCAAGUCGAGCGGGCCCUUCGGG